GGGGUUGUGGCUCGGUGGUAGAGCACCUGCCCGGCAUGAAUGAGGUUACUGGGUUCGAUCUUCAGCACUACG
rnacentral:tRNA from 1 species